rnacentral:rRNA from 1 species
AACGAACGCUGGCGGCAUGCCUAACACAUGCAAGUCGAACGAGACCUUCGGGUCUAGUGGCGCACGGGUGCGUAACGCGUGGGAAUCUGCCCUUGGGUUCGGAAUAACAGUUAGAAAUGACUGCUAAUACCGGAUAAUGUCUUCGGACCAAAGAUUUAUCGCCCAGGGAUGAGCCCGCGUAGGAUUAGCUAGUUGGUGAGGUAAAGGCUCACCAAGGCGACGAUCCUUAGCUGGUCUGAGAGGAUGAUCAGCCACACUGGGACUGAGACACGGCCCAGACUCCUACGGGAGGCAGCAGUGGGGAAUAUUGGACAAUGGGCGAAAGCCUGAUCCAGCAAUGCCGCGUGAGUGAUGAAGGCCUUAGGGUUGUAAAGCUCUUUUACCCGGGGUGAUAAUGACAGUACCGGGAGAAUAAGCCCCGGCUAACUCCGUGCCAGCAGCCGCGGUAAU